GGGUUAGUAGGUUGGUCAUGCCUCUGGUAUGCGCUGGUCUCACUGAUUCCUCCUUCCUGAUGAGCCGUAAUGCCAUUAGUUUGGUGUUGAGGGGAAUUUGGACUGUUACUUUGAAAAAAUUAGAGUGUUUAAAGCAAGCUAACGCUUGAAUACAUUAGCAUGGAAUAAUGAAAUAGGACGUUCGAUCCUAUUUUGUUGGUUUCUGAGAUCGCCGUA
rnacentral:rRNA from 1 species